GGGCCCGUGGUCUAGUGGUUAAGACGCCACCCUUACAUCCAUUUCAGUGAGAAAGGUGGAGAUCCCGAGUUCGAGUCUCGGCGGGCCCACCA
rnacentral:tRNA from 1 species